GUGGAUUAGUGGCGAACGGGUGAGUAACACGUGGGCAAUCUGCCCUUCACUCUGGGACAAGCCCUGGAAACGGGGUCUAAUACCGGAUCCCCUCCUUUCUUGCAUGGGCGGGGGUUGAAAGCUCCGGCGGUGAAGGAUGAGCCCGCGGCCUAUCAGCUUGUUGGUGGGGUAAUGGCCCACCAAGGCGACGACGGGUAGCCGGCCUGAGAGGGCGACCGGCCACACUGGGACUGAGACACGGCCCAGACUCCUACGGGAGGCAGCAGUGGGGAAUAUUGCACAAUGGGCGAAAGCCUGAUGCAGCGACGCCGCGUGAGGGAUGACGGCCUUCGGGUUGUAAACCUCUUUCAGCAGGGAAGAAGCGAAAGUGACGGUACCUGCAGAAGAAGCGCCGGCUAACUACGUGCCAGCAGCCGCGGUAAUACGUAGGGCGCAAGCGUUGUCCGGAAUUAUUGGGCGUAAAGAGCUCGUAGGCGGCUUGUCACGUCGGAUGUGAAAGCCCGAGGCUUAACCUCGGGUCUGCAUUCGAUACGGGCUAGCUAGAGUGUGGUAGGGGAGAUCGGAAUUCCUGGUGUAGCGGUGAAAUGCGCAGAUAUCAGGAGGAACACCGGUGGCGAAGGCGGAUCUCUGGGCCAUUACUGACGCUGAGGAGCGAAAGCGUGGGGAGCGAACAGGAUUAGAUACCCUGGUAGUCCACGCCGUAAACGUUGGGAACUAGGUGUUGGCGACAUUCCACGUCGUCGGUGCCGCAGCUAACGCAUUAAGUUCCCCGCCUGGGGAGUACGGCCGCAAGGCUAAAACUCA
rnacentral:rRNA from 1 species